UACGUGAGGGUGCAAGCGUUAAUCGGAAUUACUGGGCGUAAAGCGUGCGCAGGCGGUUAUGUAAGACAGAUGUGAAAUGCCCGGGCUUAACCUGGGAACUGCAUUUGUGACUGCAUGGCUAGAGUUUGGCAGAGGGGGGUAGAAUUCCACGUGUAGCAGUUGAAAUGCGUAGAUAUGUGGAGGAACACCGAUGGCGAAGGCAGCCCCCUGGGUCAAGACUGACGCUCAUGCACGAA
rnacentral:rRNA from 1 species